UUUUAAGUAACAUUUUAGGGUUCAGUUUCUUUCAUGGGGGAUAGAGAAAAUCCAAGAAAGAGGUCUUCUAGAACUCCAUGUAUUAUGACAGAUGCCAGGCACACAUUCCAUAUCUACAAAGCCCAAGUCAAAGCUAAUGUUCAUUCUGACAUUUCAUGACCAGCAUUAUAAUUCUCAAGCUAUUUUCUCAACUAAAUGGAUGGAUAUUGGCCUUAUUUUCCUCAGGUCAACUGUAGAAUCAGUGAAGCAUUCUUAGCUCUAGAAUGUACUUCCCCUAAGUGGUCCAACAAAUGUAAACUUACUACCUUUUCAGAGAUGGCACUAGUUUUCUCUUGGCAAAGCUGAACACAAAAGGAAUAAUGUUCCACGUCAAAUGACCAACUCAAGGGUUCUAUAAAUGCAUUUUCAUAAUCAAGAUACAGGAUAUAUUUUUAGAAAUUAGUAAACAAUUCUAUUAAUAUAUUUAUAACAAUUGUUUAAUAUUAUAAUAAAUAAAACAUUUAUUGACCAAUAAAAUAGCAAUGGCCAAUUUAAAGUAGUGAAUUAUUAUGAAGUAAUGAAGUAGUGAAUUAUUAUUAUGCAUGUUUAUACUCCAUUGCAUUUGUGUAUAGAACAACUAAGAUAUUUUUAUUAUGAGUAAUGCUUUCCCAAGCAAAGUAAACCAAAUAUUUAUCUGGGAAAUUUAGACAACAGAAGAUAACUUUGGCAAAUUAUAUGUUUUAAGCCAAUUUGAAGAGAAGUUACUUAUCUCCUGCAAGCAAUAUUGCUCAUAUGCAAAUCUUCUGACCUAUCUUAAAUGCAUUAGGAUUUUGUUCACUCCAGCUUCAGUGAACUUGUGUAAAAGUCCAUGACAUUAUCAAAUGGCAAAAGAGAUGAUAUCUAUUGCUAAGAUGUAUUUUUCCCACUAACCCAUAGUGGCCCUAUAAAUGCUUAGCAUUUAUAAACAACUGAUGACAUGAGCGGAUUACAAAAGCAAAGAUAUCACUUUUCUGUUUCUCUUCUGAGGAGCAAGAAGUCAAAUGAGAUGAAGAGGAUAUAAAUAAAAAAACAGCAACAACAACAACAACAACAACAACAACAACAACAAAAGAAACUGAACCCAAACAAAACCACCAUGAGUGACAUCCCAGAAUAUCCAUGGGAUGUCAGGAAGAAAUUAGGAAAAAUAGAAUCAUGAAAGAUGUUUGUUUUCUUGAGCCAUCCAAAUUAUUUAGGACAAUUGCAAUGAAUUCUAAGGCAAGCUUAAUGCUCAGUAAGAAAUUGAUUCAGAAGAGUUAGGUCGAAUAUGAGCAAAAAGUGACGAAUCAGCAACUGAAUACAAGAAAUGCUGAUGCAGAAAUUAAGCAAACUUGCUGAGAUCUAUGAAAAGGGUUUACAUUUGUACUAAAAAUCACCAUAAUUUCCCAUGUGCUACUGGUGGCAAGGCAGAAAAACUAGUUUUCAAAUAUCAAUAAUAAUCACAAGGUUUUUUUUGGAAUGCUGUGCUAAGAGCUUCACCGAAAUUACCCUGAUUAUUCUCACAGCAACCUGUGGGGAUCUACUCAGACUCACAGAGCUGGUAUGAAGAUGAUUUUAAACCAAAGACAUUUGAGAUUUAACAGAUACAGGAAGAAGGCUUUUUGGAGCUUAUCUAACUAAAGGCAGAAACUUCUGGGAGCGAGGAUGCCAUAAAUCCCUUCUCAGAGGAGUUUUACUGGCCAGAAAAACGACAGAGAAGAGAACGUGCAUCUGCACCAACAAACAUUAGCACAGACUUUCUUAUCUCCCAUUUGUCCCUCUAGAAACCCAUCUGUUCUUUCCAUAGAAGCCUUUUGUCCCUCCUCCUUUCCCCUUCUUAAGUUAGGCAUAUAAACCCCUGUCUUUAGCUGUUUGGAGAGUAACCUUUUUCUCUUUGCUCCUACGACAAAGGUGAGUAAGAGAGGACUUUUCUCUAAUCUGACUUUUUUCAGUUUAAUUCACAUGUCCCCAGCUAAUGAACACAAGACUGUACGUAGAGGAAAAUUUUUCCUCUGAUGAACUAAAGGAUGCAAGUAAAUCUCAACUUCAUUGUAGAUGUGAGAAAACAGAGAAAAUAGGAAACUUGCCCAAAUUCACUGAACCUGAAGAGCCAAGAUUCAAAUACAAGGCUAUUAAUUUUACACUAGUAAAAUUCAUUAAGUUGUUUAUAGUGGAUCUAAAGGCCCUCCCAGCCCAUGUGAACUGUCAUCUCUUUCAAGCAAUUCUUCCAAGACCCCACCAUUACUGUCUUAAUUCUGAAUGCUUUGGCAUUCACUGGGAAGGAUGUUAUUUGGAUGACUGCAAGGUUUACCCAAAUUAUUCAGUAAAAGCAAAGAUAAAUGAA